GAUGAACGCUGGCGGCGUGCCUAAUACAUGCAAGUCGAGCGAACAGACGAGGAGCUUGCUCCUCUGACGUUAGCGGCGGACGGGUGAGUAACACGUGGAUAACCUACCUAUAAGACUGGGAUAACUUCGGGAAACCGGAGCUAAUACCGGAUAAUAUAUUGAACCGCAUGGUUCAAUAGUGAAAGACGGUUUUGCUGUCACUUAUAGAUGGAUCCGCGCCGCAUUAGCUAGUUGGUAAGGUAACGGCUUACCAAGGCAACGAUGCGUAGCCGACCUGAGAGGGUGAUCGGCCACACUGGAACUGAGACACGGUCCAGACUCCUACGGGAGGCAGCAGUAGGGAAUCUUCCGCAAUGGGCUAAAGCCUGACGGAGCAACGCCGCGUGAGUGAUGAAGGUCUUCGGAUCGUAAAACUCUGUUAUUAGGGAAGAACAAAUGUGUAAGUAACUAUGCACGUCUUGACGGUACCUAAUCAGAAAGCCACGGCUAACUACGU
rnacentral:rRNA from 1 species